UACGGAGGGUGCAAGCAUUGAUCGGCAUUACUGGGCGUAAAGGGCGCGUAGGCGGCAAAAUAAGUCAGAUGUGAAAUUCCUGGGCUCAACCCCGGAGCUGCAUUUGAAACUAUUGAGCUAGAGUACAGUUAGGGUAAACGGAAUUCCACGUGUAGCGGUGAAAUGCGUAGAUAUGUGGAAGAACACCGGUGGUGAAGACGGUUUACUGGGCUGUAACUGACGCUGAGGCGCGAAAGCAUGGGGAGCAAACAGG
rnacentral:rRNA from 1 species